rnacentral:rRNA from 1 species
AUUAGAUACCCUGGGUAGUCCACGCAGUAAACGAUGAUCACUAGCUGUUUGCGAUACAGUGUAAGCGGCACAGCGAAAGCGUUAAGUGAUCCACCUGGGGAGUACGCCGGCAACGGUGAAACUCAAAGGAAUUGACGGGGGCCCGCACAAGCGGAGGAACAUGUGGUUUAAUUCGAUGAUACGCGAGGAACCUUACCCGGGUUUGAACGCAUUCGGACCGAGGUGGAAACACCUUUUCUAGCAAUAGCCGUUUGCGAGGUGCUGCAUGGUUGUCGUCAGCUCGUGCCGUGAGGUGUCGGCUUAAGUGCCAUAACGAGCGCAACCCUUGCCACUAGUUACUAACAGGUAAAGCUGAGGACUCUGGUGGGACUGCCAGCGUAAGCUGCGAGGAAGGCGGGGAUGACGUCAAAUCAGCACGGCCCUUACAUCCGGGGCGACACACGUGUUACAAUGGCGUGGACAAAGGGAAGCCACCUGGCGACAGGGAGCGAAUCCCCAAACCACGUCUCAGUUCGGAUCGGAGUCUGCAACCCGACUCCGUGAAGCUGGAUUCGCUAGUAAUCGCGCAUCAGCCAUGGCGCGGUGAAUACGUUCCCGGGCCUUGUACACACCGCCCGUCAAGCCAUGGGAGCCGGGGGUACCUGAAGUCCGUAACCGAAAGGAUCGGCCUAGGGUAAAACUGGUGACUGGGGCUAAGUCGUAACAAGGUACC